AUUGAACGCUGGCGGAAUGCUUUACACAUGCAAGUCGGGCGGCAGCGCGGGGGCAACCCUGGCGGCGAGCGGCGAACGGGUGAGUAACACAUCGGAACGUACCCUGUCGUGGGGGAUAACGAAUCGAAAGAUUCGCUAAUACCGCAUACGACCUGAGGGUGAAAGCGGGGGAUCGCAAGACCUCGCGCGAGAGGAGCGGCCGAUGGCGGAUUAGCUAGUUGGUGGGGUAAAGGCCCACCAAGGCGACGAUCCGUAGCGGGUCUGAGAGGACGGCCCGCCACACUGGGACUGAGACACGGCCCAGACUCCUACGGGAGGCAGCAGUGGGGAAUUUUGGACAAUGGGGGAACCCUGAUCCAGCCAUGCCGCGUGAGGGAAGAAGGUCCUCUGGAUUGUAAACCUCUUUUGGCAGGAAACAAACCUGCGCUAUACGCGCAGCUGAGGGUACCUGCAGAAUAAGCACCGGCUAACUCCGUG
rnacentral:rRNA from 1 species